rnacentral:lncRNA from 1 species
GCUGAUUUUAGAAGAUUGCAUCUAGAAACAAGGAUUAUAUGUGCAUGAGAGAUGCCUAAAAGAAGGAAGAUAUUUGAAGAGGAAACAGCUGCAGAGGCUAUAGGUUUAUCACACAAGAGCUGGUAUACUCAAAGGAGCAGUGUAUCAAGAGGGCAUUUUACAAAGGGUCAUGUUGUAACCAAAGACAAUCUGCAUCUCUAUGCCUGAAGACAAAGGGAGGAGGGUGUCUGGGAGCUGGUAUAUAGUAUCCUGAGAGUCCUGGAUUACAUGGCAGAGAACCCUGUCUCCUUGGAAUCCCGCCUUGUCCUAGAGCUAAAGGAGCACGCCGCAGUUAUUCACAGGGAUGCUUUUCCCUUGGGAGAUCCUGUUCCAGUUCACCUUAAUUCAUUAUUGAUUCAUGGU